rnacentral:tRNA from 1 species
UGGGGUGUGGCUCAGUAGUAGAGCGCUUGCCUAGCACAUGUGAGACACUGGGUUCAAUUCCCAGCACCACAA